rnacentral:lncRNA from 1 species
UUUGUAUAAUAUAAUGCAAAUUAAGUGAGUAAUCUAUAUAAUAAUAAGUAACUAUUCUAAAAUACCACAAAAAGUAUCUACAUAUAAUACACUAAAUUGGAGUUUAUCAACUCCCCCACACUUAACCUUUGCUUGUCCUCAAGCAAAUUUCCUGGCUCAAUACAUUUUCAAAAAGGAUAACAGAGAUAGCCAAAUGAGAGACCAAAAAUCAUAAGCAACAAUGACAGACGAUAUAAAAUAUAUGGAGUAGUCAAAAGAUUGCCCAAUUAGAGUCUUAUGUCCAUGAAAACUACCUUUAAAUGAACAGGAGCGCUCACAAUCUCUCAACGUGUUUAGGGACUUUGGAAAAUAAGCACUCAAGAUUCCACAAAAUGCACAUUACCAUAAGCUUGUAAUUCGACCGAUAUCUCCACUAAAUAGUCUACAUACAUGCAAAAGUUGAGGUCUUACGGGUUGUAACGGGGCCAUGGUUAAUUCAUGCAAGGUGGGAUAUAAGAAGAAAUGGAUAAUCAAAGGGGUAGGAAAACAAGAAACAAAUAGUAACCUUUGAAACAAAAAUGAAGCUCCUAUAUAUUUUCACAAUUUUGAUCUACUCCAAAACUAUUACUUCUUUCAUUUUUUCUUUCAGACAAAGUGUGGUCCUAAAAACUUUUUUUUCUUAAUUUCUCAUUUUGCAAUUUUUUUUUUCUUUUGAAGGAAGUAUUCACAAUAUUCCACACAAGCUACUUCUUUUCUCCUUUUACUAUCAUCAUCUUUUAUUUUUUUCAUCUUUUUUUUUCNNNNNNNNNNNNNNNNNNNNNNNNNNNNNNNNNNNNNNNNNNNNNNNNNNNNNNGAGCCUUUUUUUUCUAGUUAUACAUAGAGUACACAUGAGCAACUCAAAUUUGGAAUUUUUAUUUUCAGCUCAACAAAAUACAUGAACAUCUCAAAUAUAUGACAAUUCUCUUUUAUUUUCAAUAGUUUGCUCCAUUUUCAAUUCCAAGUGAUUACCAAAAAAAAUAUAUUUAAUCAUAUCAAGGUACCAAGGAAAUGCAUAAUAAAUAGGCUCAAAGUGGGCAACUAAGGAUGAUUUCAAAACAAUAAAAUUAAAGGCCAGAAAAAAUACCUACAAAUCCCCCAACAUUUUUCACAAGAUGCAGAUCAAUUUUCGCUUUAGCACGGUCACAAGACAAGUUCUAGAAUGUGACAAAAUGGGAAACACACUCAUAGAAAGAGAAGGGGUAAACAUUUAUAAUUGAAGAUAAAUCCCCUUAUAAANNNNNNNNNNNNCCCCAUUAUCUCAAUUGAACAAGUCUGUCAAAUAAAAUUUUCAAAGGCCCCUCAAAGGUAUAAUCUCUAUUUUUCAAUUGUUUAGCAUAGUUCAAUCAAAACAAGCCAGAAAAAUGCAAUCAACUAGAACUAGCAAAUGUCAAGUGCUAAAAUAUAGAUCCUCCCCCACACUAGUUCAAAGUAUAGUCCUUAAUGCAAUUAUUCAACUAGGCAAAAAACUAAAUAAGUGAGAGAGUAAAAGUGACUUCCCUGAGAGAUCUUGCAGACCUUGCAAAUCAAGGAUGACUUUCCUAACAACAAAAACAAACAAGCAUACCAACGCAAUAAGGUUUAUUAGAAUAAACUAAAAUAUAAAACAAUAAACACAGGUUGCCUCCCGCGAAGCGCUUAUUUAACGUCCUGAGCUUGACGAGAGCCAAAUAAUCAAUCAGGUGGCUCUCCUAGGGCAAAUUUCACCUUUAAGGCAUUGCCCCUUCUUAAUUUUCUAACCAUGUGGUUGACAUUAUUC